UCAGGAGUAGCAAGGGAAACUGCUUGAAAAUUAAUAGUACUUCGAAAGAGAGUAAAAAAUUAACGUUUACUGAUGUUAACGAGACCCGACCUUCGCUGGACGAGUUUUGCCAACGCCACUAUACAGAAUAUAGAGGGACAGGUUAUAUAAAGCUUUCUGACGCAAGGCUGACUCUAGAUAAGUGCGUCAUCACAUGCAGAGAGCCUGAAAGACCAGGAGUAGUAAUAAUAAACGACGCACCUGAUGGCACGAGCUGUAACCAUACCAGACAACGCGCGAUAUGCAUCAACGGUAGAUGCACACGUGUUAAAGAUAAUCGUGUUGAGACAUUCGGAAAAGAUGUUAAGGAUAAGGUGAUUCAGCUGCGUUAGUGGACGUGAUAACAUAACCACCAAUGUCAUAUCUCGAUAAC
rnacentral:lncRNA from 1 species